rnacentral:misc_RNA from 1 species
GAUGAAGAACGCAGCGAAAUGCGAUAAGUAAUGUGAAUUGCAGAAUCCAGUGAAUCAUCGAAUCUUUGAACGCACAUUGCGCCCGCCAGCAUUCUGGCGGGCAUGCCUGUUCGAGCGUCAUUUCAACCCUCGACCUCCCCUUGGGGAGGUCGGCGCUGGGGACCGGCAGCACACCGCCGGCCCUGAAAUGGAGUGGCGGCCCGUCCGCGGCGACCUCUGCGUAGUAAUACAGCUCGCACCGGAACCCCGACGCGGCCACGCCGUAAAACACCCAACUUCUGAACGUUGACCUCGAAUCAGGUAGGACUACCCGCUGAACUUAAGCAUAUCAAUAAGCGGAGGA